rnacentral:rRNA from 1 species
AAAUAGAUACCCAGGUAGUCCACGCCGUAAACGAUGAGUGCUAAGUGUUAGGGGGUUUCCGCCCCUUAGUGCUGCAGCUAACGCGUUAAGCACUCCGCCUGGGGAGUACGGUCGCAAGACUGAAACUCAAAGGAAUUGACGGGGGCCCGCACAAGCGGUGGAGCAUGUGGUUUAAUUCGAAGCAACGCGAAGAACCUUACCAGGUCUUGACAUCCCAUUGACCACUAUGGAGACAUAGUUUUCCCUUCGGGGACAACGGUGACAGGUGGUGCAUGGUUGUCGUCAGCUCGUGUCGUGAGAUGUUGGGUUAAGUCCCGCAACGAGCGCAACCCUUGUUCUUAGUUGCCAUCAUUUAGUUGGGCACUCUAAGGAGACUGCCGGUGACAAACCGGAGGAAGGUGGGGAUGACGUCAAAUCAUCAUGCCCCUUAUGACCUGGGCUACACACGUGCUACAAUGGACGGUACAAACGGGUUGCCAACCCGCGGGGGGGUAGCUAAAUCCGGAUAAAACCGGUUCUCAGUUCGGAUUGUAGGCUGCAACUCGCUACAUGAAGCCGG